AUUGAACGCUGGCGGCAGGCCUAACACAUGCAAGUCGAGCGAGCGGCGGACGGGUGAGUAAUGUCUGGGAAACUGCCUGAUGGAGGGGGAUAACUACUGGAAACGGUAGCUAAUAGCGCAUACCAUCGGAUGUGCCCAGAUGGGCUUAGCUUGUAGGUGGGGUAACGGCUCCCCUAGGCGACGAGCCCUAGCUGGUCUGAGAGGAUGACCAGCCCCACUGGACCUGAGACACGGUCCCGACUCCUACGGGAUGCAGCAGUAGGGAAUCUUCCGAAAUGGGCGAAAGCCUGAUGCAGCCAUGCCGCGUGUAUGAAGAAGGCCUUCGGGUUGUAAAGUACUUUCAGCGGGGAGGCGUUACCCGCAGAAGAAGCACCGGCUAACUCCGUGCCAGCGGCCGCGGUAAUAC
rnacentral:rRNA from 1 species